CCUCCCACGACUCGACGAGCCAGAGGAAGGUGUGGAUGACGUCAAAUCAUCACGCCCCCUAUGUCCAGGGCUACACACAUGCGACAAUGGUCGGUACAAUGAGUUGCAAUGCAGUAAUGCGGAGCUAAUCUCCAAAGCCGGCCCCAGUACAGAUCGAGGGUUGAAACUCACCCCCGUGAAGAUGGAGUUGCUAGUAAACGCAAGUCAGCUAUAUUGCGUUGAAUACGUUCCCGGGCCUUGUACACACCGCCCGUCACACCACCCAAGUUGGUUGUACCCGAAAACACAUACCCUAACCGUAAGGAAGGGCGUGUUGAAGGUGUGGUCAGUGAGGAGGGUG
rnacentral:rRNA from 1 species